UGGGUGUGACGUAACCAAAAGUGCGACGCGGAAGCAAAAGAUAAAGGAAAUAUGAAGGAAUAAAACAUUUACUAGCAAUAAUAUCCAACUAACAUGCUAGAGUAAGUUUAAGUGUGAAACACACAUAUUCAGAGCAUAAGUACUAGGUGCAGUCAAGUAGGAACAUAAUUAAAUUACAACACCCGAAGGUGAGUCCUACAUUUAUGUAGUCUGUCAGAACGCCGUGAGAAUCCUCGUGGGCCACCAACGCUGCUAUCUAGAACCUGGAGGGGCGCAAAACAAAAUUGAGUGGGUCAGUAAAACAAAGCUUUUUGAAAACAUUUCAUUUAAUAACAUUUCUAACCCCUCACUGUAAAACCUGUAUACUUUCCCAGAAAAUAACAUAAUAUGCAUAUAAAUCUUCAUAUAUCUCAAAUCACCAAUCUUUAUCAAAAACCAAAAAGUAUGCCAUGCUAUAAGCGUCAAUAACAGAAUAAGGAUGCAACAUUAUAACAUGUGAAAUAAGGAAUCAACCGGAGACCCUGCAGUUGGUCAUGUAUGGUUAAUUCAAUAGCUCAAUAUCCAACCAACCGGAGUCACCACAGUGACCCGUAUGGCGCUACUCUGCACAUACAUCGGAACUACCUGAAGUAGUCUGUACGAUAAGAAACAUAUAAGAAUACGCUCUAGUGCUUCUCUCAUCAACAGCUGUAUAAUAAUCUAAAAUCACCUACAAGUCGGAACCACCUCUCAUGGUCUGUACGACAUGUUAGAACCCUCUAAUGGUUUGUACGACAUGCACCUACUUGGAUCCAAGGUGAGCGUGUGGUGCGGGGUUAAUAAUAUAAGCACUAACACCAAGGGUGUAGGUUGAGAUUUCAGUACAAUUCACAUCACAAUAAAUCACAUGAUUAACAUAAAACUCACCUGAUACUCACCUGUGCGUCCACAACACCAAUUCACAUAUAUGCAUCAAAUACUAAUUCAUAUAUUUCAUAUAAUAUGCAUGCAUGGCAUUUUCAAAACAAACUUUCAUUUAAAUUCAAUUUCUGGGAAAAAUCAAUAGUAUAUAGGUAAAUACAGAAAAUACUGCCCACUCACUGGUAAGUCGAAGGGUCGUAACCCCUGUGACAUCCUUGAAUGCGCUCGUCCUCGGGAUAGGUAUCACCUAUAUACGAAACAACUAUAAAAACGUUAUUUAAAGCACAUAACCGACAAUAUGCACUAACUUCUCAUACAAUGCUCAAUUUGGGUAUAUGAAUAUACCACA
rnacentral:lncRNA from 1 species